UAAAGCGAAUAAGGGCGCAUGGUGGAUGCCUUGGGUCUGAGAGGCGAAGAAGGACGUGGUAAGCUGCGAAAAGCCGGGGGGAGCUGCACACAAGCGAAAUAUCCCCGGGUCUCCGAAUGGGACAACCCACUAUACUGAAGGUAUAGUACUCGAAAGAGAGCCAACCUCCUGAACUGAAACAUCUAAGUAGGGAGAGGAAAAGAAAACAAUAGUGAUUUCCUGAGUAGUGGCGAGCGAAAAGGGAAGAGCCCAAACCGCAGGAGCGAGCUUUUGCGGGGUUGUAGGACUACAUUUAGGAAUUAUCAAGAAGCUGAAUUAUCUGGAAAGAUAAGCCAUAGCAGGUGAAAGCCCUGUAGGCGUACAAUGAUAAGGACGCGUAGUAUCCUGAGUAGUGCGGGACCGGAGGAAUCCUGCAUGAACCAGCCAGCACCAUCUGGUAAGGCUAAAUACUCCUCAGACACCGAUAGUGAACCAGUACCGUAAGGGAAAGGUGAAAAGUACCCCGAAUAGGGGAGUGAAAUAGUACCUGAAACCGUGCGCUUACAAGCGGUCGGAGCUCUCAAGAGUGACGGCGUGCCUUUUGCAUAAUGAGCCUACGAGUUGCUCCUAACUGGCGAGGUUAAGUUCUUCAGUAACGGAGCCGUAGCGAAAGCGAGUCCGAAUAGGGCGAAUAGUCAGUUGGGGCAGACGCGAAACUUUGUGAUCUAUCCAUGAGCAGGUUGAAGUUCCGGUAACACGGAAUGGAGGACCGAACCCGUUAGCGUUGAAAAGCUUUGGGAUGACUUGUGGAUAGGGGUGAAAGGCCAAUCAAACUGAGAGAUAGCUCGUUCUCCCCGAAAUGUUUUUAGGAACAGCCUCAGAUAUAGAAGUUUACCAGAGGUAGAGCUACUGAUUGGGCUAGGGGGUUUCAUCGCCUACCAAACCCUGACAAACUCCGAAUGCUGGUAAAUAUCUCUGGGAGUGAGGCUGCGGGCGCUAAGGUCCGUGGCCGAGAGGGAAAUAACCCAGAUUAGCAACUAAGGCCCCCAAUACGUAGUUAAGUUGAACAAACGAGGUGAGACUUCAAUAACAGCCAGGAUGUUUGCUUGGAAGCAGCAAUUCAUUUAAAGAGUGCGUAACAGCUCACUGGUCGAGAGGUCUUGCACGGAAAAUAAUCGGGCAUCAAACUACGAGCCGAAGUUCUAAAAUUAUACUUUUAGUAUAAUUGGUAGGGGAGCAUUGAAACCAGCGUUGAAGGUGUGGCGUGAGCCAUGUUGGAGCGGUUUCAAAAGAAAAUGUAGGCAUAAGUAACGAUAAAAGGAGUGAAAAACUCCUUCGCCGAAAGUCUAAGGUUUCCUGAUCAACGUUAAUCGGAUCAGGGUUAGUCUGGACCUUAGGAGCACCCGAAAGGGGAAUCUGAUGGGAAGCGGGUUAAUAAUCCCGCACCUGCUAUACGAUGAAAGUGACGCAGUGACGUGGUGGUUGCGAACAGACGGAUGUUCGCCUGAGAGGAAUCUUCGGAGGAAUCGAAACCAUAAAAUUGCUGCCAAGAAAAGCGAGUAUAGCAGCCAGUACCGCAAACCGACACAGGUAGACGGGAUGAGUAUUCUAAGGCGCUCGGGUGAGCCGUGGAGAAGGAACUAGGCAAAUUGACGCUGUAACUUCGGGAUAAAGCGUACCGCUGCGAAGCGGUCUCAGUAAAAUGGUUCAACCAACUGUUUAACAAAAACACAGGGCCCUGCAAAAUCGUAAGAUGACGUAUAGAGCCUGAUACCUGCCCGGUGCCGGAAGGUUAAGGAAGGGGGUUAGGAUUAAACCGAAGCUCUUGACUGAAGCCCCGGUAAACGGCGGCCGUAACUAUAACGGUCCUAAGGUAGCGAAAUUCCUUGUCGGGUAAGUUCCGACCUGCACGAAUGGUCUAAUGAGUUGAACACUGUCUCCUCCACGAGCCCGGUGAAAUUGUAGUA
rnacentral:rRNA from 1 species